UACGUAGGGGGCAAGCGUUGUCCGGAUUUAUUGGGCGUAAAGAGCGUGUAGGCGGCUUCACAGGUCCGCUGUGAAAACUCGAGGCUCAACCUCGAGCUGUCGGUGGAAACCGUGUGGCUAGAGUCCGGAAGAGGAGAGUGGAAUUCCCGGUGUAGCGGUGAAAUGCGCAGAUAUCAGGAAGAACACCUAUGGCGAAGGCAGCUCUCUGGGACGGUACUGACGCUGAGACGCGAAAGCGUGGGGAGCGAACAGG
rnacentral:rRNA from 1 species